AUUGAACGCUGGCGGCAGGCUUAACACAUGCAAGUCGAGCGGAGAUGAGGUGCUUGCACCUUAUCUUAGCGGCGGACGGGUGAGUAAUGCUUAGGAAUCUGCCUAUUAGUGGGGGACAACAUUCCGAAAGGAAUGCUAAUACCGCAUACGCCCUACGGGGGAAAGCAGGGGAUCUUCGGAUCUUGCGGUAAUAGAUGAGCCUAAGUCGGAUUAGCUAGUUGGUGGGGUAAAGGCCUACCAAGGCGACGAUCUGUAGCGGGUCUGAGAGGAUGAUCCGCCACACUGGGACUGAGACACGGCCCAGACUCCUACGGGAGGCAGCAGUGGGGAAUAUUGGACAAUGGGCGGAAGCCUGAUCCAGCCAUGCCGCGUGUGUGAAGAAGGCCUUUUGGUUGUAAAGCACUUUAAGCGAGGAGGAGGCUACUUGGAUUAAUACUCUAGGAUAGUGGACGUUACUCGCAGAAUAAGCACCGGCUAACUCUGUGCCAGCCGCCGCCGUAACAC
rnacentral:rRNA from 1 species